rnacentral:rRNA from 1 species
AUCUAGCUCAGGAUGAACGCUAGCGGCAGGCUUAACACAUGCAAGUCGAGGGGCAGCAUAAUGGAUAGCAAUAUCUAUGGUGGCGACCGGCGCACGGGUGCGUAACGCGUAUGCAACCUACCUUUAACAGGGGGAUAACACUGAGAAAUUGGUACUAAUACCCCAUAAUAUCAUAGAAGGCAUCUUUUAUGGUUGAAAAUUCCGAUGGUUAGAGAUGGGCAUGCGUUGUAUUAG